CUUGGGGCGGCAUAACUCCGGGAAACUGGAGAUAAUUCCGGAUAACGCAUAUAUGCUGGAAUGCUUUAUGCGUAAAAUGGAUUCGUCUGCCCAAGGAUGGGUCUGCGGCCUAUCAGGUAGUAGUGGGUGUAAUGUACCUACUAGCCUACGACGGGUACGGGUUGUGAGAGCAAGAGCCCGGAGAUGGAUUCUGAGACAUGAAUCCAGGCCCUACGGGGCGCAGCAGGCGCGAAAACUUUACAAUGCGGGAAACCGUGAUAAGGGGACACCGAGUGCCAGCAUCAUAUGCUGGCUGUCCAGGUGUGUAAAAUACACCUGUUAGCAAGGGCCGGGCAAGACCGGUGCCAGCCGCCGCGGUAACACCGGCGGCCCGAGUGGUGAUCGUGAUUAUUGGGUCUAAAGGGUCCGUAGCCGGUUUGGUCAGUCCUCCGGGAAAUCUGAUAGCUUAACUAUUAGGCUUUCGGAGGAUACUGCCAGACUUGGAACCGGGAGAGGUAAGAGGUACUACAGGGGUAGGAGUGAAAUCUUGUAAUCCCUGUGGGACCACCUGUGGCGAAGGCGUCUUACCAGAACGGGUUCGACGGUGAGGGACGAAAGCUGGGGGCACGAACCGGAUUAGAUACCCGGGUAGUCCCAGCCGUAAACGAUGCUCGCUAGGUGUCAGGCAUGGCGCGACCGUGUCUGGUGCCGCAGGGAAGCCGUGAAGUCAGCCACCUGGGACGUCCGCCGCAA
rnacentral:rRNA from 1 species